rnacentral:rRNA from 1 species
AAACCGACACAGGUGGUCAGGUAGAGAAUACCAAGGCGCUUGAGAGAACUCGGGUGAAGGAACUAGGCAAAAUGGUGCCGUAACUUCGGGAGAAGGCACGCUGAUAUGUAGGUGAAGUCCCUCGCGGAUGGAGCUGAAAUCAGUCGAAGAUACCAGCUGGCUGCAACUGUUUAUUAAAAACACAGCACUGUGCAAACACGAAAGUGGACGUAUACGGUGUGACGCCUGCCCGGUGCCGGAAGGUUAAUUGAUGGGGUCAGCGCAAGCGAAGCUCUUGAUCGAAGCCCCGGUAAACGGCGGCCGUAACUAUAACGGUCCUAAGGUAGCGAAAUUCCUUGUCGGGUAAGUUCCGACCUGCACGAAUGGCGUAAUGAUGGCCAGGCUGUCUCCACCCGAGACUCAGUGAAAUUGAACUCGCUGUGAAGAUGCAGUGUACCCGCGGCAAGACGGAAAGACCCCGUGAACCUUUACUAUAGCUUGACACUGAACAUUGAGCCUUGAUGUGUAGGAUAGGUGGGAGGCUUUGAAGUGUGGACGCCAGUCUGCAUGGAGCCGACCUUGAAAUACCACCCUUUAAUGUUUGAUGUUCUAACGUGGACCCGUGAUCCGGGUUGCGGACAGUGUCUGGUGGGUAGUUUGACUGGGGCGGUCUCCUCCUAAAGAGUAACGGAGGAGCACGAAGGUUGGCUAAUCCUGGUCGGACAUCAGGAGGUUAGUGCAAUGGCAUAAGCCAGCUUGACUGCGAGCGUGACGGCGCGAGCAGGUGCGAAAGCAGGUCAUAGUGAUCCGGUGGUUCUGAAUGGAAGGGCCAUCGCUCAACGGAUAAAAGGUACUCCGGGGAUAACAGGCUGAUACCGCCCAAGAGUUCAUAUCGACGGCGGUGUUUGGCACCUCGAUGUCGGCUCAUCACAUCCUGGGGCUGAAGUAGGUCCCAAGGGUAUGGCUGUUCGCCAUUUAAAGUGGUACGCGAGCUGGGUUUAGAACGUCGUGAGACAGUUCGGUCCCUAUCUGCCGUGGGCGCUGGAGAACUGAGGGGGGCUGCUCCUAGUACGAGAGGACCGGAGUGGACGCAUCACUGGUGUUCGGGUUGUCAUGCCAAUGGCACUGCCCGGUAGCUAAAUGCGGAAGAGAUAAGUGCUGAAAGCAUCUAAGCACGAAACUUGCCCCGAGAUGAGUUCUCCCUGACCCUUUAAGGGUCCUGAAGGAACGUUGAAGACGACGACGUUGAUAGGCCGGGUGUGUAAGCGCAGCGAUGCGUUGAGCUAACCGGUACUAAUGAACCGUGAGGCUUAACCUUACAACGCCGAAGGUGUUU